rnacentral:SRP_RNA from 1 species
CCAUGCUAGAUGGGGGACUAGCGGCCCCCUGCACCUGCAACCCGCUAUAGCAGGGUCGACGCCCUGGCGAGGCUCUCGCCUCGGACGGGGCUUCCCGAAGAGCGGCGAUGAAGGUCACGGUCCCGGACAACGGACGGAGUGUGAACCGGGUCAGAGGGGGAACCCAGCAGCCCCGACAUUCCUGGCCCCGUGUGUCCCGGGAGCGCCGGACUGGAGCUAGCUGUCGGAGAAGCGCCGUACGGACGGUUCCGAACCAGGGUGCAUGG